CACAGAAAAUCCUGCUGGAAAUCCUGAGAUGAAGUUUCCUGAUGUAACCGGGGGAACCUGAGGACACAGAAUAAAGAAGGACCAUGUGAAACUCAUGAAGAGGAUGGUCAGAGUCGUCCAUAGCUUUCUUGACUCUUAUGAAGAAUCCUUCUUUGCUUCAUCUCCAGAGGUUCCACAGUCAUCUCCAGAACAGAACCAGAACCAGAACCAAUCCAGCCUUCUUUAUCAGAUUGUUGAGCCUUUUGAGGUUCCUGGCUCUGAUGCUGCUGCACCAACAGAUGAUAGCAGAAGAGAUGACACUCUCAGCCGCAGACUUCAAGAUCUACAGCAAGCGGCUGCAGAUCUACAGUCGUUAUGACUUUUCUUCGGUACCGGAACCAGGCAGGAUGUCUUCCACAACAACGGAACCUCUUCUUGGGUCAGGCAAAGGUUGAAGAGAUGCUGCAGAAUCCCACAGAGGGACUCUGGGACUGAAACCAUCUGGACCUGCAGCCUCGUUCCUGUUCAGUCUCUCCGGCUGCUUCUUCACCUGACUUCUAGAUACAGAAACGUUGGAGGUGGAGGCAAAGGGAGCAGCAGCGUCUCCUGAUGUGGUUGAAGACAAACUUGUGGAAGCAGAAGAGUCCAUGACUGAGGUGGAAGAUGGAACAUCUGAGGUUCGACAGGAAAGCUGUGGGUCAGAGGAGGAUGAGAUUCUGUUUGGCUGCAGACAGGAGAGGAUGAUGAUGAUGAGCUUGUUCCUGGACUCAACCUGUUGAAGAAUGUGUUCAGCUCAUUUGCUCUGUGCAGAAACUGAUAUUGUUCAAAACAAAAGUCAUGGUAGCAUGUUUUUAUGUAAUAAUGAGUAUGUAAUGUUUGGAAUGAAGAAGAUAAUCUGAUGGAAUUACAAAAGAUCAUUGUGGCUCCCGCUCAGUGCAAAAACAUAUUUUGUUGGUUUCUGAAGAGUAAAAAUUGAACAAAUGUGUACACUUAAAGAUUAAGUUUAUAUGUCACAGUCAUCACAAUGCUAAAGAAAAGUCUCACAACAGUGUGAAAAUCAUGGUGUUUAUUUACAAGACAGGAAGCAGGAGGAAGAUAUUAACGAAUGUAAUAUUUAUUUUGCAGUGUCAGGUUAUUUCUAUGUAUUAUGAUAUAAUAAAACAUGUAUUUUUGGCCUUAUUGCAUUCUGUUUUAUAUUUGUGUGAAAUUUUAACUUGAUUUUGAAAGCAUGUAAAGUAAUCAAUCUGAUCAUAGAGUGAAAUAACAUUAAGUUGUAAGCAAAUUCAAUAAAAGCUUUUUUUGCCGCCA